UACAGAGACUGCAAGCGUUAUUCGGAUUCACUGGGCGUAAAGGGUGCGCAGGCGGCCAGGUGUGUCAGGUGUGAAAGCCCGGAGCUUAACUCCGGAAUUGCGCCUGAAUCUACUUGGCUAGAGCAUUGGAGAGGGUAGCGGAAUUCACGGUGUAGCAGUGAAAUGCGUAGAUAUCGGGAGGAACACCUGCGGCGAAGGCGGCUUCCUGGACUGCAACUGACGCUGAGGCGCGAAAGCUAGGGGAGCAAACAGG
rnacentral:rRNA from 1 species